rnacentral:rRNA from 1 species
GCGUAAGCGCGCGCAGGCGGUCUGUCAAGUCUGAUGUGAAAUCCCCCGGCUCAACCUGGGAACUGCAUUCGAAACUGGCAGAGCUAGAGUCGUGUAGAGGGGGGUAGAAUUCCAGGUGUAGCGGUGAAAUGCGUAGAGAUGUGGAGGAACACCGGUGGCGAAGGCGGCCCCCUGGACUGAGACUGACGCUCAGGUGCGAAAGCGUGGGGAGCAAACAGGAUUAGAUACCCUGGUAGUCCACGCCGUAAACGAUGUCUGCUUGGAGGUUGAGCCCUUGAGGCCUGUCUUGCUGAGCUAACGCGUUUAGUCAACCGCCUGGGGAGUACCGGCGCCAGGACAGAACUCCAAUGAAUUGGCCGGGGCCCCCCCCAACCGUGGAACAUGGGGUUUAAUUCCAUGCAACCCCAAAAACCUUACCUACGC